rnacentral:rRNA from 1 species
GAGGAAUAUUGGGCAAUGCCCGCAAGGGUGACCCAGCAACGCCGCGUGGAGGAUGAAUGUCGUAAGAUUGUAAACUCCUGUUAGAGGGGAAGAAUAGUACCGGUUGGACCGGUAUAUGACUGUACCCUCAGAGAAAGCCCCGGCUAACUACGUGCCAGCAGCCGCGGUAAUACGUAGGGGGCAAGCGUUGUCCGGAUUUACUGGGUGUAAAGGGCGCGCAGGCGGGAUAAAAGGUCAGUGGUGAAAUCCUACAGCUUAACUGUAGAACUGCCUUUGAUACUUUUAUUCUUGAGUUCGGGAGAGAGAGACGGAAUUCCAGGUGUAGUGGUGAAAUACGUAGAUAUCUGGAAGAACACCAGUUGCGAAGGCGGUCUCUUGGUCCGACACUGACGCUGAGGCGCGAAAGCGUGGGGAGCAAACA